GACGAACGCUGGCGGCGUGCCUAAUACAUACAAGUUGAGCGAUGAAGAUUGGUGCUUGCACCAAUUUGAAGAGCAGCGAACGGGUGAGUAACGCGUGGGGAAUCUGCCUUUGAGCGGGGACAACAUUUGGAAACGAAUGCUAAUACCGCAUAACAACUUUAAACAUAAGUUUUAAGUUUGAAAGAUGCAAUUGCAUCACUCAAAGAUGAUCCCGCGUUGUAUUAGCUAGUUGGUGAGGUAAAGGCUCACCAAGGCGAUGAUACAUAGCCGACCUGAGAGGGUGAUCGGCCACAUUGGGACUGAGACACGGCCCAAACUCCUACGGGAGGCAGCAGUAGGGAAUCUUCGGCAAUGGACGAAAGUCUGACCGAGCAACGCCGCGUGAGUGAAGAAGGUUUUCGGAUCGUAAAACUCUGUUGGUAGAGAAGAACGUUGGUGAGAGUGGAAAGCUCAUCAAGUGACGGUAACUACCCAGAAAGGGACGGCUAACUACGUG
rnacentral:rRNA from 1 species